rnacentral:rRNA from 1 species
AUUGAACGCUGGCGGCAGGCCUAACACAUGCCAGUCGAACGGUAACAGGAAACAGCUUGCUGUUUCGCUGACGAGUGGCGGACGGGUGAGUAAUGUCUGGGAAACUGCCUGAUGGAGGGGGAUAACUACUGGAAACGGUAGCUAAUACCGCAUAACGUCGCAAGACCAAAGAGGGGGACCUUCGGGCCUCUUGCCAUCGGAUGUGCCCAGAUGGGAUUAGCUAGUAGGUGGGGUAACGGCUCACCUAGGCGACGAUCCCUAGCUGGUCUGAGAGGAUGACCAGCCACACUGGAACUGAGACACGGUCCAGACUCCUACGAGAGGCAGCAGUGGGGAAUAUUGCACAAUGGGCGCAAGCCUGAUGCAGCCAUGCCGCGUGUAUGAAGAAGGCCUUCGGGUUGUAAAGUACUUUCAGCGGGGAGGAAGGGAGUAAAGUUAAUACCUUUACUCAUUGACGUUACCCGCAGAAGAAGCACCGGCUAACUCCGUG